rnacentral:rRNA from 1 species
AGUGAACGCUGGCGGUGGGCCUAACACAUGCAAGUCGAACGGCAGCACAGGAGAGCUUGCUCUCUGGGUGGCGAGUGGCGGACGGGUGAGGAAUACAUCGGAAUCUGCCCAGUCGUGGGGGAUAACGUAGGGAAACUUACGCUAAUACCGCAUACGACCUUCGGGUGAAAGAGGGGGAUCGCAAGACCUCUCGCGAUUGGAUGAGCCGAUGUCGGAUUAGCUAGUUGGCGGGGUAAUGGCCCACCAAGGCGACGAUCCGUAGCUGGUCUGAGAGGAUGAUCAGCCACACUGGAACUGAGACACGGUCCAGACUCCUACGGGAGGCAGCAGUGGGGAAUAUUGGACAAUGGGCGCAAGCCUGAUCCAGCCAUACCGCGUGGGUGAAGAAGGCCUUCGGGUUGUAAAGCCCUUUUGUUGGGAAAGAAAUCUUUCAGGCUAAUACCCUGGGAGGAUGACGGUACCCAAAGAAUAAGCACCGGCUAACUUCGUG